UUUAUUGAGGGUUGUAAUGUAGGCUCUUUGGUAGGAUAGGAUAUAUUUGGCUAAGUGACUAAUACAUACAACUCAACGUAGCACAAUCACCAACCUUAUAGCAUUCUUACUCAACACAAUCUUCCACCUCCCAUAAAACCAAAAUUUUCAAUGCAAAAUCCAUCACAACUCAUCAAUUAUUCCUCAUGACAUUAUGACUUUCUAAAGCAUCCUAUGUACCCUUUUUUUUUCCUUUUCUUUUCUUUUUUUUUCUUUUUUUUUCAUAUUUUUUUUUCAAACAAGUCAGGGUACUAGGAUUUUUCAAUCAAGAUAAAAAAAACAUAACUCAUGAUCAUUCAUCUCCACAAACCAACUUUCCCAUUUCAACAAUUUCCAAGCUCCCACCCAAGGCUAAAUCAAAGAAUAUGGAUAAUAAGGCUCAAAAGGGGUGAACUAGGAUC
rnacentral:lncRNA from 1 species